UACAGAGGUCCCAAGCGUUGUUCGGAUUCACUGGGCGUAAAGGGUGCGUAGGCGGUCGGGUAAGUCUGAUGUGAAAUCUCACAGCUUAACUGUGAAACUGCAUUGGAUACUAUUCGGCUUGAGAGUUGGAGGGGGGACUGGAAUUCUUGGUGUAGCAGUGAAAUGCGUAGAUAUCAAGAGGAACACCAGUGGCGAAGGCGAGUCCCUGGACAACUUCUGACGCUGAGGCACGAAAGCUAGGGGAGCAAACAGGA
rnacentral:rRNA from 1 species